rnacentral:rRNA from 1 species
UAGGGAAUCUUCGGCAAUGGGGGGAACCCUGACCGAGCAACGCCGCGUGAGUGAAGAAGGUUUUCGGAUCGUAAAGCUCUGUUGUUAAGGAAGAACGAGUGUGAGAAUGGAAAGUUCAUACUGUGACGGUACUUAACCAGAAAGGGACGGCUAACUACGUGCCAGCAGCCGCGGUAAUACGUAGGUCCCGAGCGUUGUCCGGAUUUAUUGGGCGUAAAGCGAGCGGAGGCGGUUAGAUAAGUCUGAAGUUAAAGGCAGUGGCUCAACCAUUGUAGGCUUUGGAAACUGUUUAACUUGAGUGCAGAAGGGGAGAGUGGAAUUCCAUGUGUAGCGGUGAAAUGCGUAGAUAUAUGGAGGAACACCGGUGGAGAAAGCGGCUCUCUGGUCUGUAACUGACGCUGAGGCUAGAAAGCGUGGGUAGCAAACAGG